rnacentral:rRNA from 1 species
UACGGAGGGUGCGAGCGUUGUCCGGAAUCACUGGGCGUAAAGGGCGCGUAGGCGGCCUGAUAAGUAGGGGGGUGAAAUCCUGCGGCUUAACCGCAGGGCCUGAGCCUUCUCAAACUAGUCAGGCUCGAGCACAGUAGAGGCAGGUGGAAUUCCCGGUGUAGCGGUGGAAUGCGUAGAGAUCGGGAAGAACAUCAGUGGCGAAGGCGGCCUGCUGGGCUGUUGCUGACGCUGAGGCGCGACAGCGUGGGGAGCAAACAGG